rnacentral:rRNA from 1 species
GACGAACGCUGGCGGCGUGCUUAACACAUGCAAGUCGAACGGUAAGGCCCUUCGGGGUACACGAGUGGCGAACGGGUGAGUAACACGUGGGUGAUCUGCCCUGCACUUCGGGAUAAGCCUGGGCAACUGGGUCUAAUACCGGAGAGGACCACUGGCUGCAAGGGUGGUGGCGGAAAGCUUUUGCGGUGUGGGAUGGGCCCGGGGCCGAUUCGCUUGGUGGUGGGGGGAUGGUGUACCAAGGGGACGACGGGUAGCCGGCCUGAGAGGGUGACCGGCCACACUGGGACUGAGAUACGGCCCAGACGCCUACGGGAGGCAGCAGUGGGGAAUAUUGCACAAUGGGCGCAAGCCUGAUGCAGCGACGCCGCGGGAGGGAUGACGGCCUUCGGGUUGUAAACCUCUUUCAGCACCGACGAAGUGCAAGUGACGGUAGGUGCAGAAGAAGGACCGGCCAACUACGUGCCAGCCGCCGCAGUAA